UUCAUACGUUAGUUUGUUCAUACGUUAGUUUUCUCGUGCAUUGUUCUAUUCACUUUUGUUUAAAUUAAAAAGAAAUAUAUAUACAUGUAUGUAUGUAUGUAUGUAUAUGAUAUAUACAUAUAUAUAAAAUGCUUAGAGGAUGACAAUAAAUUAUAAAAGCAUGGAUUUUUUGAGAUACAACUUAAACCAUAAGUUCAACGAGAGCGAGGUUGAAAAAAGUUUUAACAAAAACCAAAAGUAUGAAACAAAAACUGGUUAUUCGAUUAGUCAUUCUUUAAACAAUAAGAAGUUAGAAGAUUUCAUUGAUGAAGGUACGUCAAAUUUUUUAAAUACAACAAAAACCUGUUUAGAAAAAAAGUUUCCCAAAAAUUAUAAAAAAAAUGAGGAUAGCUUUAAUAUGAGUGAUGAAGUGAUAAAAGGAUGUGUUGAUGAAAAAAUAAAUGCUCUUAAUAUGACAUCUGAUGUGGCAAAGCCAUUAAUGUAUAAAAGUUAUAACAGUAAUAACAUGAAGAAUGUCGAUAUGCAAGAUAAUAAUUAUGAUUACAAACAGGAUGGAAACUAUAAUAGGAUAACUAGCUGUAAGAAUGCAUAUAUAGAUAAAAAUAUAGAUGAUAAAAAAGGAAUGAGCAAAAAUAAAGAAAUGAAUGAUAAAUUAAAAGAAGAUGAUUCACUUGUAUAUAAUAAAAAGAAACAUUAUUUAAUCGAUGAAACAAACGACAGGAAUUUAAAAAAAAAAAAAAUAAAUGAAAUAAUCAAUAAAUAUAAAAAAAACAUAACAACUUUUAUUGGAAAAUAUGACAAUAGUGAAGUAAAUAAUUUAGAGGAUAAUGCGAAUGAUUCGAAUAAUGUUGAAUAUAGUGAGAAAGGGGGUGAACGUAAAAGUGGUCAGAACAUAUAUGCUCAGAACAUAUAUGCUCAAAACACAUAUCCUCAGAACAUAUAUAGCCAGAACAAAAAUGACGCUGUUAUUAUUGAGGAAAAAAAAACCAUCGACAAAAAAGGAUGUGAGCUAAUUGAAUUAAGUGAGUUUAAAAAUAAUAUAAAAAAUAAAUUUAGUUUUGAUUAUGAUAAAAUUAAAAAUAAUUUAAAAAUUGAUUAUAAAAACUGUGAUGAUAAGGAUACUGAUUUAUAUACAAAAAGGAAUGUCAAUUUAAAUAAAAACAACCAUACAAAUUUAUUAAGUUAUGAGCAUAAUAAUAGUAGCAAUAGAAACACUUCCAAUAACAAUAAUAAUAGUAGUAAUAUUCUUUCGCAUUCUCAAAAAAAUAAUAAAAGUGAUAUUGUUAUAAAUGAUGACAAUCUGUUAUUAAAUAAGAUUAAAAAAAAUGAUUUAAAAUCUAAAAUGUAUGAUACAACAGCAGAUUUACCAAUUUCUUCACUUUCACUGAAUACGCCAGAAGAACAAAAAAAUGAAACGACUAUGAUAAAAUAUGAUAUUCAAAAAGAGGGUGAGGGGAAAAUGAAAAACAUAGAUCAUAAAAAAAGUAUGUUUAACAAUAAUGAUAGUAAUACAUUUUCUAAGUUUAAUUAUUUAUUUAAUGAAAAUAAAUUCUUAUCAGAUGAAUUAAAAAUAAAAGAAAAAUUUGAAAAAAUUAAAUUAUUAAAAAGUGAAAUUUAUUUAAAUGAAGAUUUGUCGAAUGCUACUCAAGUGAAAGGGACCGAAGACAAAAAGGAGAUAAAACCAUCGGAGUCUGUAAACGUAGGAAGUCUAGGUACUGAUGACUUACAUAACGAUGUACACAUGCCUAACGAUGGCGACGCAUCUAUCGACAACGGCAAACAUAACCUCCGUGACAACUCCACCUAUGAAAAAAAACUUUUUGAUAAUAAAAAACAGUUUAACAAAGAGUAUAACAAUAAGCUAAAUGUAUUGAGUGAUACACUAUCAAAUAACAAAUUAAAAACAACAGAUUCAUUAAAUGAAAAAAAUAAAACAAAAACAUUUUUAGAUAAGGAAAGACAUGUAAAAGAAAAAAAGAACUUUUUACAUGAACAUUUUUCUAAUAAACAUAAAUUGGAUUUAAAAAAACAAAUAAAUGAUUAUAAAUUAGAAAAAUAUGAUAAUAUUUAUUUAUCUAAAUUUGAUGGAUAUAAUAAACAAAGUAAAAGUAAACUUAUUACACAAGACAAAGAUUUUUUAAAAGAAAAUAAAAAAAAAAAUGAAAAGGUGAUGCAUGAAUUAAAUAAAAGUUAUGCAUCAGGUAAAGAGUGGAACAUACAAGAAACAGGAAAUGAAAAAAAAAAAAAAAAGGCUGAGCAGGGAGUAGUACAUAUGCAAAAGGCUGCUAACCCGUCAAAAGGGGAUGACAAACCAAAAAGUGAUGACAAACCAAAAAGUGAUGACAAACCAAACGAUGAUGACAAACCAAGCGAUGAUGACAAACCAAACGAUGAUGACAAACCAAAGAGUGAUGACGCAGCGAACGAAAAUAACCUACCGAAAGGUGAUGACAUACCAAACGGUGAUGAGAAACCAAAUGCAGAUAGCAAAAAUAACGAAUAUAUUUCUGAAAAAAAAUAUUUAGACCUACAAGAAAAAAGUUUAAACUUUUUAAAUGAGUAUAAAAAAAAAAAGGGGUUAAGUUUUAAUGGUUCUCGGACUGAAAUAAUCAAUAGUCAUUUACCUAAAAUAGAUGUAAAGCAAAAUAUUAAUAUAAUUAAUAAAAAAAAAUUGAAUUUGGAAAAAAGUUACAGUAAAAAAAAUAUAGAAGAUAAAAAAAUAAUGACAAAUGACAGUAAAAAAAAUAUAGAGGAUAAUAAGGAUAAAAUAAAUAUAGACAAAAUUAAAGGGAUGGAAAAUGAUAUAACAGAUUCAGAAUCAAACGUAAAGUGUUAUGAUCAUAAAAAAAAUAAUAGUAAAAAUAAUUAUAAUAAAAAAAAUGUCCAAAUAGGUUAUAACAACAAUGACAGUUAUGUAUUUAAGUCAAAUACUGAGAACAUAACUAGUAAUAAAGUUGUAUCGAAUGUUAAUAAUAAAAAACAAAAUAACAUAGAAGUGACAGAUAAAAAAAAAAAUGCCACUUUAACCGAGAUUUGUUCGGGCAUAUUGAAUAUUCAUGACCAACCUAAAAACAUUAAAGAAACAUUGUUAAAUCAGGGCCCAACUAAACUACACAAUAUUAUGACAUAUAAUAUGAUUGUUAAUAUGAAUGAUAAUAAUAAUAAUAAUAAUAAUAAUAAUAAUAAUAAUAAUAAUGACAGAAAUGGAAACAAUAACAAAGACAAUAAAAACAAAUGUGACGAUAAAAACAAAAAUGAAAAUAAUAAAAUUUCUUUAACAAUGCUAAAAAAUAGUCACUAUGCAAAUCUAAAAGAAAACAAUCGAAUUCAAAAAGAAGGUACUAGUAAUUUAAAUAAUUGUUUACAUCAAAAAAUGAACAUAUUAUAUGAUAAAAAAAAAAGAAAAGUAGAAACUUUUGAAAAUGUAAAUGAUGUAAAAAAUGAUCAUACAAGCAAAUUAGAUAGAUUGUUACAAUGGAAUUUAGGUGAUAAUAGUAGAGGUGUUGGCGAAAGUAAACAGAACAACGCGGGAAACACGACGAAAAACUUCGUUGACCAAAGAAAAUGGAAAGAUUUUAAGGAAUUAAAAAAGAAAAAAAAAACAUCACUUGAUUCUUCAACAUUUUUAAAUAGCAAUAAUAUUAUUAAAAAAAAUAGUUCUGAAAAAAUAGCAGAUGUUAAUGAAAUGGAAAUUAGUAAAGAUAUUAUGAACGAAAUAAAAAAAAAAUACGAAAAUAUAAUUAAAAGAGCCCAAAGAAAUGUCAACUAUACAGUAGGCAAUACUACUGCUACUACUACUGUUACUACUACUGCUACUAAUACUAACAAAAACAACAGUAGUAUUACUAAUAGUUCCUUAUUAUUUAAUAGGGAGUCAGAAGAUAUAAACGAUAGGGUAAAAAAAAGGUUGGACUUGAUAGAACAAUGUUUAAAAGAAGAUAGGAUGAAAAUAGACGAAGAAAAUAAAAUAAAAAAAGAAAUAGAUUUAAAAAGAAAAGAGUAUGAAUUAAAAAUUCGAAAAGAGUUUGAAAAAAAAAUAAGAAUGCGAAUUGAAUUAAAUGAAAAAAGGGUGAUGGAAGAAAAACAAAAUAAAUUAGCUGACGUAAAAGCGAUUAGACAAAAUGAUACUCAUGCGAAUGUAAUAAAUGAGCCGCAACAAGAUGGUGAUGUUAAAAAGAACAAACAGGAAUUGCAAGCAGAAAAUAUGACUGUGAGAAAUAUAAAGAGGGACAAUAGUGAAAACAUAAAUGGUAAUAAAUGUAGUGAUAAUAAAAGUGAAAACCGAAAUAAAAAAAAAAAAAGAAAACAAUUAUUUGAAGAUGACUACUCAAGUGAUGGUAGUUAUUAUAAAAAUAUGUACAAAAAUCUAUAUGAUGAAACUUGGAAUAAUAAAAUGAAAAAUCAGUAUUAUGAUAUUAGUGAUAAUUUAUAUUUACAAGAUUGUUCAUAUAAUUUUUUUCAAAAUGUAAAAGAACAAUCAUCAGUUGAAAACUCAUUAUCUACUAGUAUGGAUAAUGAUAUAACUUCUUUAAGUAAAAUAAAAUUUGAUGACUUUGAUUAUCAGUUUUUGAAAAAUCGUAGAGCGUUAAAUAGGGAUGAAAAUGAAGAUGCACAACCUGAACAAAAUGAAGAUGCACAACCUGAACAAAAUGAAAAUGCACAACCUGAACAAAAUGAAGAUGCACAACCUGAACAAAAUGAAGAUGCGUUGCAUGAGGAAGAAAAGAGAAGCCGAUUUAGUCCAUCCAUAAAAAAACCAAAAGAUCAAAAAAUAAAAACAGUUGAUAUAGUAAAACCUAGUGUAUUAUUUACAGACAGCGAAAAUAAUUAUAAUAAAACUAAUGAUAUUACAACAGAAAAUGAAAAGCUAAAAAAAAAAAAUUAUGAAGUAUCAAGUAAGGAUAAGUAUUCAAAUGAAAAAACUAUCCAAAUUAGUAAAAACGUAAAUGAUGAUUCUUCUUUAUUAUUAAAAAAACAUGAAAACAAAAAAAAAUUAAAUGAAUUUACUUGUAGUAGUAAUAUAUAUAAGCCAAAUAAUUAUAAUAUAAAUAAAAGUAAUAAUAUAAUAAAUAAGUUAAUAUUAACAAAGCCACGUAAUACUAUGACAAGUAGUAGUGACACUUCAAAUAAAAGUUUUAGGGCUGCUAAUAAUGCAUUAAUAAAUGAUGAAUCUGAUAUGGAUUCAGAUAGUUCAAGUGAAAGUGUGUAUAAAAAAUAUAUUACUACGGAGGACAGGAAAACGAGUAAAUAUAGCCAGAUAAAAAAUUGGAACGAAUUAAAGGAUAAUAAAUUAGAUAAAGAAAAACACCAUACUAAGAUUAAUGAAAUAAAUGAACUGGAUUCAAACGAUAAUACUUAUACUACAUUUAAUGACUAUGAUAAAAAAAAAAAUACGCAUAAACAUAAUCAAAGAUAUUACAACUUAAAAGAAAAUACAAAUGAAUUGAAAAAAGGUACAGAGUUAAAAACAAAUAUGUUAAAAGCUGAUAUAGAAAAUAAACCAAAUAAAAACAGUAAAAUAAAUGAGGACGUGAAGAAUAGCAUAGAAAAAGAAGACGAAAACAUCACUAGUAUUAAAGACAGUAGUAAUAGAGACGGUAGUAACAAUUUAGAUAUUUCUAAGCCAUAUUCUAAUAAGGGUAUGCCUAAAAUUAAUAUUUUAAAAAAUAAAGAAAAUUAUGUAUCAUUAGAUGAGGCACUGAAUUUUGUUAUAGAUAAUGAAAAAUUAAAAAAAGUUAAUAAACAAAAGGAUAGCAACAAAGGAACUCAAAAAAAAAAAACAUUCGUACAAUGGUUAAUGGAUGAAAGGAAAAAAAGGCUACAAAACAAUUUACCCAUCGACAUUUAAAGUUAUUAAUAUGCUCAAUUUUUGUUUUGUUUUUUUUCAUAUUAUUACACUCUUACAUUAUGUUGUAUUGUGUUGUUUUUAUUGUGCUCUCUGUAAUGUGUUAUUUAAUUUAUUUAUUUUUUUAUUUAAUAAUUUUUUUUUUUUUUUACUUUGUUUAUAGAUUAUAAUAUACUCUCUUUGUUUUUAAUUAUUUAAUUUUUAUAAUAAAAUGUUUAUAUAAGAACA
ensembl:lncRNA